UCAGACGAUGCGUCAUGCAUAUCAAUAAGCGGAGGAAAAGAAACUAACAAGGAUUCCCCUAGUAACGGCGAGUGAAGCGGGAAGAGCUCAAAUUUGAAAUCUUAAAGGGUUUCCCUUUACGAAUUGUAGUUUAAAGAAGUGUUUUCUGUUGAGGUUUUGGUAAAAGUUCUUUGGAAUAGGACAUCAUAGAGGGUGAGAAUCCCGUAUUUGACCUUUACUUUCAACUUUGUGAUACACUUUCAAAGAGUCGGAUUGUUUGGGAAUGCAGUCCAAAAUGGGUGGUAAAUUUCAUCUAAAGCUAAAUAUUGGCGAGAGACCGAUAGCGAACAAGUACCGUGAGGGAAAGAUGAAAAGAACUUUGAAAAGAGAGUUAAACAGUACGUGAAAUUGUCAAAAGGGAAGCAGUUUGACACCAGUGUUGUUUUUCUGAAAAUCAAUUAAAGAACUGUUUAUGCUAAGUUGUUUAGACUUUAUCAGCUAACUGUUUAGUUUUGAGCUUUUCUUUAAUGCACUUUUCAGUUAACAAGUCAACAUCAAUUUCUUUUGCUGUAAAAAAGCUUGAGGAAGGUGGCUUGAGAUUCGUCUUAAGUGUUUAUAGCCUCUUGCCUAUGCAGUCGGAGAGAUUGAGGUCUGCAGCGUAGAUCCUUCGGGGCUAAAUGCAUUUGUGCUAAGUUAUAGCAUUUUAUAGACAACUUGUUGACUAUGAUUUGUCUUGUAGCUUACUCGCUUAUGUUAUUUUACCUACGCUUAGGAUGUUGAAGAUGUAGCACAUCAU
rnacentral:rRNA from 1 species